rnacentral:misc_RNA from 1 species
AAGAGAGCGAGGUGGUGCUCCCAUCCAAUAAAAAUACAACAUAUCAGGAAAAAGUAAGAGAAAAUAGUUUCGUACCAAAUCAUACUGGCAUUUGGUGCAUUGAGUAAUUGAGAUGAGGAUUAAGCAGUACAUCUUUAAUAUGCCAAAGUCAACGUAUUCUAAUUAAACUAGUGACUGCCAAGUCUACGCACAAAUUCUAAGCGUAUGGAAUAAAAUUAUAGUGGAGCCAAAGCCAAUCACUUGUACAUGGCGUCGCUGAAUUACUUGAUUUAGAUUUUUCACCUUUAAGGCGUAAAAACGAAGCCAUUUCAUUUGUCUGUGUCUUUGGCUUUGGGUGAAAACGAAAGAAUUUAUAAAACGCGCUGCCGAAAGCUACCGUCCCAUCCCAUGACUCCCAUCUGGUAAUCUCAGCCUAAAUAAUUUUUUUUUUUUAAUAUAUAAAAUCUCAGCCUAAAUGUUCCCAUUUUAUAUUCGUCAUUUACAACUUUUUCCCUAUUAAAAAAAUUAUCUGAGUUUUUA